GUGCUUAACACAUGCAAGUCGAACGGAAAGGCCCUUCGGGGUACUCGAGUGGCGAACGGGUGAGUAACACGUGGGUGAUCUGCCCUGCACUUUGGGAUAAGCCUGGGAAACUGGGUCUAAUACCGGAUAGGACCACGGCAUGCAUGUGCUGUGGUGGAAAGCUUUUGCGGUGUGGGAUGGGCCCGCGGCCUAUCAGCUUGUUGGUGAGGUUACGGCUCACCAAGGCGACGACGGGUAGCCGGCCUGAGAGGGUGUCCGGCCACACUGGGACUGAGAUACGGCCCAGACUCCUACGGGAGGCAGCAGUGGGGAAUAUUGCACAAUGGGCGCAAGCCUGAUGCAGCGACGCCGCGUGAGGGAUGACGGCCUUCGGGUUGUAAACCUCUUUCGCCAGGGACGAAGCGCAAGUGACGGUACCUGGAGAAGAAGCACCGGCCAACUACGUGCCAGCAGCCGCGGUAAUACGUAGGGUGCGAGCGUUGUCCGGAAUUACUGGGCGUAAAGAGCUCGUAGGUGGUUUGUCGCGUUGUUCGUGAAAUC
rnacentral:rRNA from 1 species